CUUUCUACUUUCAUUUUUAGGCAUCGCCGAAUAUCGUUAUUGCCCUGGCUGGCAAUAAAGCGGAUCUAUCAAAUAUUCGUGUUGUAGAAUACGAAGAAGCAAAGCAAUAUGCCGAAGAGAACGGAUUACUCUUCAUGGAAACAUCGGCAAAAACGGGAAUGAAUGUUAAUGAUAUCUUUUUAGCAAUUGCUAAGAAAUUACCUAAAAACGACGGAGCAAAUAAUCAAGGCGCUCCCGCUGGUAGAAGGCUGAAUGAUAAUGAAAAUACCCGACAAACAAACAAUUGCUGCAAGUGAUGUCCUUUUGUAGAAAAUGAAAUUUCCAACGAGAGAUUUGAAAAAAUUAUGCUGAUAAUUAUAAAUAAAAAAAUAAAUAUUUAAAUUACAAUUUAAAAACCAGAAAUAGAAAGCAGAAACAAAAAUACGGAUGAUAAUGAUGAUGAUGAUGUUGAGUGGGAAAGCAACCAAUAAUAAUAUAAAAUAUAAAAUUUAAAUUAUGAAAAAUUAUGAUAAGGAUGGUAAUGCUAUGAAAAUAGAUUAAAAUAAAGUCACAUUAAAAAUCGAUAACAGAAAGAAAGUAAAAACAUAAAACAGAAAACAAACAAACGCUCCCUUUUCAGCUCCCUCGUCACCAAAAUCAGCAGCAAUACUCGAGCAGCAAUGUACUACUACUUUCUAAUACAGCUGCCUAAAUAUAUAAUCUGUUAACACACCCAGAUUUCACUUUGCUCCCGCAUCCACAUCAACAUUUUACGUUUGCGUUUGUUCACUCCUCGAAAAAGAACACAAAAAAGUAAAAUCCGCAAAUUCAGUAAACAAAUUAAUAAUCUAUACUAAAUGAAAGUUCAAACGUAAACUUUUUCAAAA